UACGGGGGAGCAAGCGUUGUUCGGAUUUACUGGGCGUAAAGGGCGCGUAGGCGGCCACCGCAAGUCGACUGUGAAAUCUCCGGGCUUAACCCGGAAAGGUCAGCCGAUACUGCGGGGCUAGAGUGCAGAAGGGGCAACUGGAAUUCUCGGUGUAGCGGUGAAAUGCGUAGAUAUCGAGAGGAACACCUGCGGCGAAGGCGGCUUCUGGGCCUUUACCUGACGCUGAGGAGCGAAAGCGUGGGGGAGCGAACAGG
rnacentral:rRNA from 1 species